rfam:Nitrospirae bacterium GWB2_47_37 gwb2_scaffold_1196, whole genome shotgun sequence.
GGGGGCGAUAGGGCUCGACGGGGGUUAUGAGGCUCAAGUGGCAUGCGGUGGCUCCAUCACCACCUAAAAAGAUGGGAAAAACACAAACGCCAACAACGAACUGGCACUCGCUGCUUAACCAAUAGCAGCACGCUCCUCUAAGGUUGCCUGUGCCUUAGGGAAAGCGUCAAUCAGCAGGAUGCCGUCAGGCAACUCCCUUAACCCUGACGAAAGCUCAAAGGGAUAGGAUAUCGGCGGGCCCGCCGACCGGCAUUCCGGUAUCCGAGAUUAAAUAGGUUGGAUAAGCAUGUAGAGGCUUGAGAGUAGUGCUUUCGGACGCGGGUUCGAUUCCCGCCGCCUCCACCA